rnacentral:lncRNA from 1 species
UGAUAUUAAAGUACUAUAACCAGUCAACUAAAACCAUUUCCACCCAAGAACAUCUAUACCUACAUGAUGAAUAAGAUGACCAACAUAAACUUUCAUAUUUUAAGAGGGUCAUUCACAAGGUUAGCAUCACAGUACUCUUACCACAUUCCUAUCGACACAUACCUAAUUGAAUACAAAUGCUAAAUUAAUGAAAAAAGCUACAGAUGCCAAGUUACUGGCCCCUUCAACUAAACCAAUUCAAGGUAUUGCUUCUGAGAAGAUUGCAGAACGAUGGGCAAAGAUGUGCUCCAAUAAUUAUCAGGAACAACACUAUGCAUGUAAAAAUAGAUGUUGUGCAGAGUUGUGUGGAACUUUAGAUGAUGUUCUAAGAUGUAUAAAAUGAGUUGGAAUCAGCAGAACCCAAUAAUUGUGCAUUCUGGCCUGUGCAGCUUCCAACAGUGCAGCAGAUCACAUACUACAGAAGAUCGUUAGCCACGAAAUUGCUGAACUUUUGACAAAGGUUCAAAUCAAUAAGUCUAAUAUUAUCGCAAACAUCAACAUAAAAUGGAAUAAUGAUACCUGUUCAAUAUCUCUUGGUUCCUUAAAGUUGGUUAGUCCAAUAUCUUCUAUGUGCACCACCUGAUAAUAAUAAAAAAUGAAAUACGUAUAUACGUUAAGACUUGCUCCAUUACUCCAAGUAAUAGGAAAAUACAAAUUCCGAAGCAUAAUUUCUAUUUACUCAAGUUCACUUCUCUAUUCAAAACUAGAGGACAAAUUCUUGAUUCACACAUAAUACAAUACAUUGAAUAACCAAUCAAGUAAUUUCUAGUGAUACCAAAAGGGACAUAUUAAAAAACAUGAGCAAUAAAAAAUAUGUGCACAUCAAAGAAAUCGAUAAGCAAAAAAAUAUUCAAUAUUGAACUUGAGGAAAUAGACAACAUCAAUUUAAAACAAAAGCAACAGUCUUUAAUGUGUUUCUAUCUAUUAAUAAAAAAUGGCUAAGCUAUUUUCUAUUUGAAUAAAAAAAAAACUCAUGAUGUGUUGUCUUUAAUGUGUUUCUAGCUAUCAAUAAAAAAUGGCUAAGCUAUUUUCUAUUUGAAUUAUAAAAAAACUCAUGAUGUGUCUUCAAAAUCAAAUUCUUCACCCGAUUCAAUUUCAAGUUGUUGUGAUAGAAAUCCUUCUGGAGGUACAUCAAGAAUGGUUUCAGGAACAUCACUCCUUACUAAGGCAACUUCACCAUUAUCCUCCGGUAUCGAUGGGCCAACCAAAUAUUCAGAUGGCUCAUUUUCAUAAUAUUGUGGGGUAUUAGCUUCAAGUUCAUCACUUAUGCAUAACAAGUCUCUCGAGACAGUCUUCAUGACAAAAUAUCUAUCUUGAUCAUAUGGAUCUUUCACAUAGAAGCAUUGGUGUAUUUGAGAUGCCAGGACAAAAGGCUCAAUCUGAUAACAUUUCUUGUUGAAGUAGAUAUAAGUAAGGCCAUAAAUAUCUUCUUCAAUCUCAUACCAAUCACACUUAAAUAAGACAACCCUAAAAUGUCCAUAAUAGUCUUACUCAACUAUAUCAACUAUUCUACCAUAAUAAAUCAAAUUUGUGUCAACUGGAUUUUUAUCUUUUGAGCUUCAAAACUUGUAGUUUGAGCGACUAAUGUAACACCACUAUUUUGUGUUUUACGUCUUGCAUCACGCUUCUGACGACCCAAAGGGGUCAUUACUGUAAUUCUCCCUUUUCUUGCACUAUUGAGGCCUUGAAAACCUCUUAAUUGGUUGCCUCAAUUUGCAUGCGCACUUCGGGCGCGAAGCCGGAAAAUAUUUAUGGGGAAAUAUUAGAAUUCUGUGUUAGAAACUAUGAAUUUUGAUAAUAAUAUUGCUAUAGUUGACUUUGGUCAAUGUUUUGGGUAUACGGACCCAGACCCAUAAUGUGAUGGUCCCAGAGGGUCCGUAAGGAAAUUUGGGACCCGAGCAUAUUCUCGAAAUCAAAAUCUGAGGUCCCAAGCCCGAGCACGGAGCUUUUAUGUGAAAUUGCUUUUGAAAACGCUUAAGGAAAAAUGAAAAUGAAAAUUUGAUCAAAAGUGAUGGUAUCGGGCUCGUAUUUUGGUUCUGAAGCCCGAUACAAGUUUUAAAUGUGCGUUAAGCGAUAUCUGUAAAGUUUGGUUUAAAACGGACAUCGUUUGACGUGUUUCGGACUAAAAAUGGAAAUUUGAAAGUUUUGAACUUUGAAAUGAAAAUCAUGAGUUUUAGAGGUUGAUUCUGUGAUUUUGAUGUUAUUUUGGCGAUUUGAUCGCACGAGUAAGUCAGAAGGACGUUUUUGAGGUUAGGUGAACGUUUGGUUUGGAGCCCGAGGGCUCGAGAGAGUUUUUGGAUAGGGCCUUGAGUGCAUUUUUUAUUGCAUGAAGUCUGCUUGUAUACCUGGGCUGCAGGGUUCGCAAAUGCUAAGCCAGUCAUCGCAAAUGCAAAGCAAGUCAUCGCAAAUGUGAUAUUCCCCUUUUCCUGCCCUCUUCGCAAAUGCAAAGCAAGAGAUCGCAAUUGCGAUGAUCUCCUUACCAGCCUUCCUUCGCAAAUGCAAAGACCUCCACCGCAAUUGCGAUAUCCCUUCAGCCUAGCCCAGGUUCGCAUUUGCGAACCCUAUCUCGCAAAUGUGAGUUCCUUCUUUUCCCAGCCCAGUUCGCAUUUGCGAAUUCCUUCUCGCAAAUGCGAGAUUCUCCUUCUUGCUGCUCAGUUCGCAAUUGUGAGCUCUUUCUUGCAAUUGCGAGAUUUGUGUCUGUGUAAAUGAUACUUAACCGAUUUUAAACCUCACUUUUCAUAUUUUCAAAACCCAAAACCUCCAUAGGCGAUUCCUCUCGAACCCCUUCGUCCCCAAACCAAAUGUAAGUAAAUUUUUACUAAUUUUCUUCAAUCCUUAUCAUCUUCUAACAUGAAAUUUCUCUCGAACCCCUUCGGCCUCAAACCAAAUGUAAGUCAAUGUUUACUAGUUUUCUUCAAUCUCUAUCAUCUUCUAACAUGAUUUUAUCCUUAAAUCAAAGCUUUCAUGGUUAAAAAUCGGGAUUUGGGGAACCUAGUUUUUUUCAUAAAAUUGGGGAUUUGGACCUCAAUUUGGGGUCCGAUUUCAAAACAAAUUGCAUAUAUGAACUCGUGGGGGAAUGGGUAACCCGGUUUUGGUUCAAACCUCAAGUUUUGACCACGUGGGCCCGGGGGGCAAUUUGGAAAUUUUUGGUUAAAACUUUGGAAAUUUCAUUCUUAUGCAUUCAAAUUGAUUUAACUACAUUUGUUGAUACAUUUGAGUAACUUGUUGUUAGAUUCGACCGGUUUUGAAGUGAAUUCGAGGGGUAAAGCUAUUCUAGAGGUGUAAGUUGAGUUGGAAGCUUCUGAGGUAAGUAUUUGAUCUAACUUUGGCUUGAGGGAAUAGGAUUAGGAUAAAAAUUGCUAUGUGCUAUGUGGAGUCGGUGUAUAGGUAUGGUGACGGUUACCUAUGCACCCGAGUCUAGCAUGACCUUGAGUCAUAAUUGCUAUUUAAUUGUCGAAAGAAGAGCAUCAUUUUGAUAAUUACUUGUUCAAUGAAUCAUGAAAUUAUAGUUGAGAAGUAAAUGAGCUAAGGAAGGAAGUUUUGGUAUUUUUCCCUUGCCGGGACCUAUUGUUGAUUUAUCUUUCCCUUGCCGGGACUUAUGGUUGAUAUAUCUUUCCCUUGCUGGGACUUGCUGUUGAUUUAGUCUCCCUUGCCAGGAUAUUCUUGGACUGUUAGCUGUACCCUUGUCGGGUUUAACUGUUAUGUUGAUGAAUUUCCCUAAUGGGGCCUCCUUUGAGGAGAUUGUUGGAUUGAUUCGAUUAUAAAAUGGGAUCGUGUGGAACGUCGUCCACUUAUAUAUAUUAUAUUAUUUGGAUCGUGUGGCACGCCGACCAUGAGAUAAUAUGAUUGGAAUCGUGGCACGGCGACCACGAGAUUUUAUGAUUGGGAUCGUGUGGCACACUGAUCACAAUAUGUUAUGAUUGGGAGCGAGUGGUACGCCUAACAUAACUUGUAUUGAUUAUUUUUAUUGUCCUUAGAUGUCGUGCAGUUGUUGAUUCAUUGGUUUUCUUUAUUUAAUAUUAUAUUCUUUGUUCCAUUUCUUAUUUGUUGAAGUUAUAAUUGAAUUGUUACUCCCCCAGCAUGUCCCCUCCCCAUUAUCUGUUUAAAUUCUUGUUCUUUUUCUGUUAUUGCACAUAUAACUGUGCAGAUUGAUUGUGGUAGGUCCGGUUUAGCCUCGUCACUACUUCACCGAGGUUAGGCUGGGCACUUACCAGCACAUAGGAUCAAUUGUCCUGAUACUACACUUCUGUGCCUUUUUGUGCACAUGUCAGGACACAUCCUGUACACGUUGAUUGUGGUAGGUACGAUUUAGCCUCAUCACUACCUCGAUGAGGUUAGGCCAAGCACUUACCAGCACAUGAGGUCAGUUGUGCUGAUACUACGCUUCUGUGCGUUUUUGUGUGCAGGUCAGGACACAGCCUACGGACCGCAGCAGUAGCUAGGGGGAGAUCCUUCAGUCCAGAUAUUCUGAGGUAGAUCGCUGGGGUUCGCGGGCCUCGAGUCCCUUCUAUCACUUCUAGUUUGUUUUUAUUGUAUCAAACAGACGUGAUGUAUUUCUUUCAGACUAUUGUUUUUAGUACUCUUUAGUCGUCCGUGAGUAGUGACACCGGAUACAUGGUUGAAUGAUGUUGUUAAUUUUUGCAUUUUGUUUUCGCUAUUGAUGUUAAGAGACUUCUGCAUGUUUUAAUUAAUUAUGUUAGUAUUUAACUUCUUUUAAAUUUAAGAUUGGUGAAAAUUAUUAUAAAGGUUGGCUUGCCUAGCUUCGACAAUAGGCACCAUCAUGACUCUCGAUGGCAGAGCUCUAGGUUACUUGGGUCUCACUACUCACGGACAAGCUCGGUAGGGUCUGAGAGAUCGGUACAAAGACGUAUGUAUUUACCCCCAGAGGCUACAGAGUUAGGAAUUAUUUCACUUUCUUCGUUCUUAUCGUGCGCUUCUGUUUCUCAAAUAUUGAUUGUCGUUCUACUCUAUUCUUUCGCAGAUGGCGAGAACACGUGCAUCUUCUUUUUCCGCGCAGCAGCUCCCGCGAGAGCAGGGGAUGAGGCCGUGGCAGAGGCAGAGCUCAUCCCCAGGCAGCAGUUCCAGAGGUGGAGUCUCAUAUUGACUUUGAUCAGGAGGCUCAAGCUCCACCAGCUCCAGUGGGCCCAUCUCAGGUCCUAGGAGGAGUGGUGUUUUCUUCGGAUCUUCAGGAUGCUCUUGCAUGCAUAGCAGACUUUAUGGAUAGUGUGGCUAGAGAGGGAUUGCUACCAGUAGCACCAACCACAUCUCAGGCUAGAGGAGGGGUUCAGAAUCCUGCUACAUGUACUCCGGAGCAGGUACCUCCCCAAACUCAGGUUCCGUUGGUGCAGCCCGCAGUGGCAGCUCAGACAUGCAUUACAAGCCCGGUCGGAGAUGGGAUGGCCAUGUCACCGGAUGCUUUGCGGAGACUUGAUCAAUUCUCCAAGCUUUUCACUACUACUUUCAGUGUGCUUCAUCGGAGGAUCCCCUAGACUAGACUUUCUAUAUAGUUGUCAUAAGGUCCUCAGAACUAUGGGGAUAGUAGAGACCAAUGGGGUUGAUUUUUGCACUUUCAGACUUGUGGGGUCCGCCAAGACUUGUUGGAGAGAUUUCUGCUUAUCUAGACCAGCAGGGUCACCAGCUUUAACAUGGGAUCAAUUUGUAGAGUUAUUUUUGGAGAAGUUUCUCCCCGUCAAUCGGUUGGAGGCACUUCGUAGAUAGUUUGAGCACCUUUAGCAGGGCUCCAUGACAAUCAUAGUAUGGGACCUGAUUUGUUGACUUGGCAUGCCAUGCAGUAGUGAUACUCCCUACAUAUCGGGAGAGAGUCUGGAGGUUUAUUCAUGGAUUAAUUCUGCCCAUUCGCCUACAGAUGGCUAUGGGAGUUGGCAAUGAUAUUACUUUUCAGGAGGCAGCCAAUGCGGCCCGCCGAGUAGAGAUAGCAUUGGUUCGAGGAGGUACUCAGGGUUCAGACAAGAAGCCUCGACAUUCUGGCAGAUUUAGUGGUACCUCAUCUGGAGGUAGGGAUUUCCAUGACAGAGUCCAUCCCCUGAGACCUUUCUAGUCAGCACUCCUAGUUUCUCAUAGUGCUCCAGGUGGUCGUAGCUCUCAGCCUCAGUAUUCUGACUAGCAGCUCUUCAGCUCACCAUCAACUGCUAUCAGUGCACCACCACUUCGAUAUUCUCAGCAACCGAGGGCUUGCUUCACCUGUGGCGAUCUAAGGCACAUUGCCAAGUAUUGCCCUUGAGCUCCAGCAGUUCAUAGCAGCAGGGUCCUCGUCCCCAUGAUUCAGGCAGCGGAUGAUCCAUAGGCUGCCCAGCUAGCUAGAGGCAGGGGUAGGGCCAUAUAGGUGAGGGUAGGGAGCGUAGAGGUGGAGAUCAGACAGCCAGGGGUAAGGGUCAGCUCGCAGCAGAUCAUCCUAGAGAUACAUUUCAGGGAGGUGGGGGCCAGCCCCGUUGUUAUGUAUUGCCAGCUAGACCGGAGGCUGAGUUAUCUGACGUUGUGAUUACAGGUACUAUACUGGUCUGUUAUAGGGGUGCUUCAGUAUUAUUUGAUCCGGUAUCUACUUAUUCUUAUGUGUCAUCCUAUUUUGCACAUUAUUUGAUCAUGCCUAGUGAGGCUUUGGGUAUUCCUGUAUAUAUGUCCACACCGGUUGGUGAUUCUAUAGUGGUCGACCGAGUGCAUCGUUCGUGCAUGGUAGUAUUUGAGGGUCUUGAGACCCGUGUUUACUUAUUGCUUUUAGACAUUGUGGACUUUGAUGUUGUGUUCGGGAUGGACUAGUUGUCCCUGUAUAAUACUAUUCUGCAUUGUGAUGCCAAGACCGUGACUUUGGCUUUGCCAGAUUUGCCCCAACUUGAGUUGAGAGGGACCCCAGAUCAUGCCACUCGUAGUGUUAUUUCGUAUGUCAAGACUCGACGUAUGGUCGAGAAGGGUUGCUUGUCCCUAUAUCAUGCCAUCUUGCAUUGUCACACCAAGACCGUGUCCUUGGCCUUGCCAUAUUUGCCCCGACUUGAGUGGAGAGGGACCACAGGUCAUGCCACAUGUAGUGUUAUUUCGUAUGUCAAGGCUCGACGUAUGGUCGAGAAGGGGUGUCUAGCAGAUUUGGCGUAUGUUCGUGACUCCAGCGCAGAGGUUCCAUCUAUCGAUUCUUUUCCUAUUGUUCGGGAUUUCCCCAAGGUUUUUCCUGCAGACCUGCCGGGCAUGCCGCCCGACAGAGAUAUUGACUUCUAUAUUGAAUUAGCUCCUGGUACUCAGCCUAUUUCUAUUCCGCCAUUCACAUGGCCCCGCCAGAAUUGAAGGAGUUGAAGGAGAAACUUCAGGACUUGCUUGAUAAGGGUUUCAUUAGACCCAGUGUGUCACCUUGGGGUGCACCGGUGUUGUUUGUGAAGAAAAAGGACGGGUCGAUGAGGAUCUACAUUGAUUAAUAGCAGUUGAACAAGGUGACAGUAAAGAACAAGUAUCACUGAUUAACAGCAGUUGAACAAGGUGACAGUAAAGAACAAGUAUCCACUACCGAGGAUUGACGACUUGUUUGAUCAGCUUCAGGGUGCUAAGGNNNNNNNNNNNNNNNNNNNNNNNNNNNNNNNNNNNNNNNNNNNNNNNNNNNNNNNNNNNNNNNNNNNNNNNNNNNNNNNNNNNNNNNNNNNNNNNNNNNNNNNNNNNNNNNNNNNNNNNNNNNNNNNNNNNNNNNNNNNNNNNNNNNNNNNNNNNNNNNNNNNNNNNNNNNNNNNNNNNNNNNNNNNNNNNNNNNNNAGAAGUUAGAUUUGAGGUCCGGUUAUCAUCAGCUGAGGAUUAGGGCGUCUAAUGUCCCUAAGACAGCAUUUAAUACUCGGUAUAAGAAAUAUGAGUUUUUGGUCAUGUCGUUUGGGUUGACCAAUGCCCCGGCAACAUUCAUGGAGUUGACCGAAGAAGAUAGAGGCAAUCAAGAACUAGCCUCGACCGGCUUCAACUACAGAGAUUCGGAGCUUCUUGGGGUUAGCUAGUUACUACAGAUGUUUUGUGGAGGGGUUUUCAUCCAUCGCAGCCCCGAUGACUAGAUUGACUCAGAAGGGGGCCCAGUUCAUGUUGUCACAUGAGUGCUACGCGAGCUUCCAGAAGCUCAAGAUAGCUCUGACUACGGCACUGGUAUUGGUCUUGCCCACGGGAUCUGGGCCUUAUGCUGUGUAUUGUGAUGCUUCCCGUAUCGGGCUAGGAACAUUGUUGAUGCAAGACGGCAAGGUUAUAGCAUAUGCUUCGAGGUAGUUGAAGAUCCACGAGAAGAAUUUUCCAGUUCGUGACCUAGAGUUGGCAUCCAUUGUUCAUGCCUUGAAGAUCUGGAGGCAUUAUUUGUAUGGUGUNNNNNNNNNNNNNNNNNNNNNNNNNNNNNNNNNNNNNNNNNNNNNNNNNNNNNNNNNNGAAGAUCUGGAGGCAUUAUUUGUAUGGUGUGACGUGUGAGGUGUACACGGAUCACAAGAGCCUUCAGUACUUGUUCAAGCAAAAGGAGUUAAAUUUGAGACAGCGGAGGUGGUUGGAGUUGUUAAAAGAUUAUGAUGUUUCUAUUUUUUACCACCCAGGGAAGGCCAAUAUGGUGGCCGAUGCAUUGAGUAGAAAGUCCGCUAGCAUGGGUAGUCUUGCCUAUAUUCCAGUCAGCCAGAGACCGCUUGCGUUGGAUGUUCAGGCCUUGGCCAAUAGAUUUGUGAGAUUGGAUAUCUCUGACCCAGCAGGGUGUUAACUUGUACGGUUGCUCGCUCGUCAUUGAUGGAGCGUAUCCAGGAGUGGCAGUUCGAUGAUCCCCAUUUAUGUGUCCUGAGAGACACGGUGCAGCGGGGAGGUGCCAGGGAGAUGACUUUGGGAGAUGAUGGCGUAUUAAGGUUGCAUGGGCGAGUUUGUGUGCUUAAUGUUUAUGGUAGUUGAGAGUCGAUCUUAGCGGAGGCCCACAGUUCUCGGUAUUCUAUUCACUCGGGCGCCGCGAAGAUGUAUCAGGAUUUGAGAUAGCAUUAUUGGUGUGUAAAAUGAAGAAGGACAUUGUUGCAUAUAUGUCUCGUUAUCUAAAUUGUCAGCAGGUUAAGUACGAGCAUCAGAGGAUUGAGCUUCCAGAGUUGGGCACCCAGGUCCAGUUGAGUACUGCAUUUCACCCCUAGACGGACAGUCAGUCCGAGAGGAUUAUUCAGAUUCUUGAGGAUAUGCUCCGAGCCUGCAUUUGAGGUCAGUUAUUGGGUACAAAUUUGCCGCGUAGCUUGUCAGCUGUGCACCCGGUUUUUCAUGUAUCCAUGCUUUUGAAGUAUCACGGUGAUCCCACCCACGUGUUAGAUUUCAGUACUGUCCAAUUAGACAAGGAUCUAUCAUAUGAGGAGGAGCCGGUGGCUAUUUUGGACCGGCAGGUUCGACAGUUAAGGUCGCAUAGUUUUCCUUCGGUGCGUGUUCAGUGGAGAGGUCAGCCUCCUGAGGCCUCGACCUGGGAGUCCGAGUCUGAUAUGCGGAGUGGAUAUCCCCAUCUAUUUCCCGACUCAUGUACUUCUUUCUUUUGUCUGUUCGAGGACGAACGAUUAUUUUAAAGGUGGAGGAUGUGACAACCCACAGGGGUCAUCAUUGUAAUUCUCCCUUUCCUUGCACUUCUGAGGCCUUGAAAACCUCUUAAUUGGCUGCCUUGAUUUGUGUGCGCAGUCUGGCCGCAAAGCCGAAAAUUUUUUAUGUGAAAAUAUUUAAAUUUUGUGUAAGAAACUAUGAAUUUUUAUAAUAAAAUUGCUAUAGUUGACUUUGGUCAAUGUUUUGGGUAAACGGACCCGGACCCGUGAUGUGAUGGUCCCGGAGGGUCCAUAAGGAAAUUUGGGACCCGGGCGUAUUCCCGGAAUCGAAAUCCAAUGUCCCAGGCCCGAGUACGGAGCUUUUCUGUGAAAAUUUUUUUGAAAAUGGUUAAGGAAAAAGGAAAAUGAAAAUUUGAUAAUAAGUGAUGGUAUCGGGUUCGUAUUUUUGUUCCGACGCCCGGUACAAGUCUUAAAUGAGUGUUAAGCGCUAUGUGUAAAGUUUGGUUGAAAACAGACGUCGUUUGACGUGUUUUGGACUACAAAUGGAAAUUUGAAAGUUUUGAACUUUGAAAUGAAAUUCAUUAGUUUUGGAGGUUGAUUAUGUGAUUUUGAUGUUAGUUUGGCUAUUUGAUCGCAUGAGUAAGUCCGCAGCAUGUUUUUGAGGUUGGGUGCAUGUUUGGUUUGGAGCUCCGAGGGCUCGGGAGAGUUUUGGAUAGGGCCUUGAGUGCAUUUUUGAUUGCAUGAAGUCUGUUGGUAUGGCUGGGCUGCACGUUUCGCUAAUGCGAAGCCAGUCAUUGCAAAUGCGAUAUUCCCCUUUUCCUGCCCUCUUCGCAAAUGCAAAGAAAGAGAUCACAAUUGCGACGAUCUCCUCACCAGCCUUCCUUCGCAAAUGCGAAGACCUCCAUCGCAAUUGCGAUAUCCCUUCAGCCUAGCCCAGGUUCGCAUUUUUAAUCCCUAUCUCGCAAAUGCAAGUUCCUUCUUUUUCCAGCCCAGUUCGCAUUUGUGAAUUCCUUCUCGCAAAUGCGAGAUUCUCGUUCUUACUUCUAAGUUCGCAAUUGCGAGAUCUGCGUCUGUGUAAAUGAUACUUAUCCGAUUUAAACCUCACUUUUCAUAAUUUCAAUACCCAAAACCUCCAUAGGCGAUUUCUCUCGAAACUCUUCAACCCCAAACCAAAUGUAAGUCAAUUUUUACAAGUUUUCAUUAAUCUUUAUCAUCUUCUAACAUGAUUUCAUCCGUAAAUCAAAGCUUUAAUGGUUAAAAAUGGGGAUUUUGGGUAGAACCUAGUUUUUCAUAUAAUUGGGGAUUUGGACCUCAAUUUGGGGUCCGAUUUCAAAACAAAUUGCAUAUAUGAACUCGUGGGGGAAUGGGUAACCUAGUUUUGGUUUGAAUCUCGAGUUUUGACCACAUGGUCCCGGGGGAAUUUGGGCAUUUUUGGGUAAAACUUUGGGAUUUUCAUUCUUAUGCAUUCAAAUUGAUUUAACUAGAAUUUAUUGACACAUUUGAGUAAAUUGUGGUUAGAUUCGACCGGUUUUGAAGAAAAUUCGAGGGGUAAAGCUAUUCUAUAGGCGUGAGUUAAAUUGGAAGCUUUCGAGGUAUGUGUUUGAUCUAACUUUGGCCUGAGAGAAUAGGAUUAGGAUAAAAAUUGCUAUGAGCUAUGUAGAGUCAGUGUAUAGGUAUGGUGACGAUUACCUAUGCGCCCGAGUCUAGCAUGACUGUGAGUCAUAAUUGCUAUUCAAUUGUCAAAAGAAGAGCACAAUUGUGAUAAUUACUUGUUAAAUGAACCAUGAAAUGAUAGUUGAGAAGUAAAUGAGCUAAGGAAGGAAGUUUUGGUAUUUUUCCCUUGCCGGGGGACCUAUCGUUGAUUUAUCUUUUCAUUGCCGGGACUUAUUGUUGAUAUAUCUUUUCCUUGCCGGGACAUGUUGUUGAUUUAGUCUCCCUUGCCGGGAUAUUCUUGGACUCUUAGUUGUACCCUUGUCGGGUUUAACUGUUAUGUUGAUGAAUUUCCCUAAUGGGGCCUCCUUUGAGGAGAUUGUUGGAGUUAUUCGAUUAUAAAAUGUGUUCCUGUGGCACGUCCUCCACUUAUAUAUAAUAUGAUUGGGUCAUGUGGCGACCAUGAGAUAAUAUGAUUGGGAUCGUGUGGCACGUCGACCACGAGAUUUUAUGAUUGGGAUCAUGUGGCACGCCGACCACAAUAUGUUAUGAUUGGGAGCGAGUGGUACGCCUACCAUAACUUGUAUUGGUUAUUGUUAUUGGCCUUAUAUGUCGUGCAGUUGUUGAUUGACUGGUUUUUCUUUAUUUAAUUAUUAUAUUCACAGUUCUAUUUCUUAUUUGUUGAAGUUAUAAUUACACUGUUACUCCCCUAGCAUGCCCCUUCCCCAUUAUCUGUUAAAUUCUUGUUCUUUUUAUGUAAUUGCACAUAUAUCUGUACAGGUUGAUUAUGGUAGGUCCAGUUUAGACUCGUCACAACCUCGCCGAGGUUAGGCCGAGCACUUACCAGCACAUGGGGUCUGUUGUGCUGAUACUAUGCUUCUGUGCCUUUUUGUGCACAUGUCAGGACACAGCCUACGGACCGCAGCAGUAGCUAGGGGGUGAUCCUUCAGUCCAGAGAUUCUGAGGUAGAUUGCUAGCGUUCGCGGGCCUCGAGUCCCUUCUAUCACUUCUAGUUUGUUUUUAUUGUAUCAAACAGACGUGUUGUAUUUCUUUGAGACUAUUGUUUUAGUACUCUUUAGUCGUGCGUGAGUAGUGACACCAGAUACUGGGUAGAAGGAUGUUGUUAAUUUCCGCAUUUUGUUGUCGCUAUUGAUGUUAAGAGACUUCCGCAUGUUUUAAUUAAUUAUGUUUGUAUUUGACUUGUUAUAAAUUUAAGAUUGGUUAAAAUGAUUAUAAAGGCUGGCUUGCCUAGCUUUGACAGUAGGUGCCAUCACGAAUCCCGAUGGUGGGAAAAUCCGGGUCGUGACAACGCUGCCUCACAUGGAAUCUAUAUCCAUUAGUGAGAUACCCAGAAUAUCUUUUAGCAACUGAAUUUGGUCCGAAGGAUAAUUGCUUUAUAAGAUCGGGCACAUCCUCUUUUAAAGGACGAGUUUCAAACCAUUGAGAGAAGUUUUGACUAUACUUCUUGGCCUUGCUCCAUUUUGAUCCUCGUCUCUGAUUACUAACCUCAACCUCAUAAUCUCUACACAACAAGUAUUUUUAUUUGUUAGUAAAAUGAUAAACAAAGUAAUCUAAUAACAAUCCACACAAAUAAAUGCUAUAAGUUAUUAAGUUACCUUAUAUAUUCUUGAACUUCAUCACAAUUGUUCAAUAAGUAUAUAUGUGCCUGAUUUAGUGACAUGUCAUCUAACACAAUUAGAUCACUCUUUUUUGCUAAUAAAGGACAACCUGUAUUAGGGAACAAACUAGAAGAUUGUGCAUUAAUUGAAUCAUAUUCAUCAUUUUUUCGAGGUCCUCGAUUAAAUUGAGUCUUUACACCUUCAUAUAAGUACCUAGAGCAUAAAGUCAAACAUUCUUCAACCAAAUAUGCCUCAGCAAUAGAUCCUUCUGGAUAAUUUAUGUUGCGAACAUAUGAUUUUAAUGUACACAUAUACCUUUCAGGAGGAUACAUCCAUCGAUUUUAAACUAGACCUCCCAACCUUACCCCAUUUGCCAAAUGAAUAGGCAAAUGAAUCAUUAUAUCAAAAAAGGUUAGAGGAAAAAUUCUUUUCAAUUGAUUCAAUGUUUCUCUAAUCUCUACUUCCAAGCAAUCUAGCUCUUCGAUUCUGAUAACGUUUUGACAUAAAUGGCGAAAGAAAGAACUUGCCAAAUCAAAUGGAUAGCAACAUGAUCAAGAAGUAUGUUUUUAACUGGUAUUGGCAACAAGUAAUGUAACAUGAAGUGGGCAUCAUGGGUUUUAUAACCGGAUAAUUUUCUUUCAUCUAGAUGUACACACCUGGAUAUAUUGGAAGCACUAUCAUCAGGUUGCUUUGCUGUCUUUAAAACACCACAGAAAACUGAUUUCUCACCAUUGGUCAUUGAGAAGCAUGCUUUUGCAAACUUUGUUCUCUUGCCAUCCUUUGUAUCCUUUGGUUGAAGGUUCUUCCUAAUGCCCAUCUCUUUCAUAUCAUAAUGAGCAUUUGCAUGAUCCUUUGUCUUGCCAGGAAUGUCCAAAAUAGUUCAAAUUACAUUAUCCACUAUAUUUUUCUAUAUAUGCAUUACAUCAAGGUUAUGACGUAACGAUUUGUGCUGCCAAUAAGGUAAUUCAAAAAAAAUAACGAUCAUUUGCAUGAUCCUUUGUCUUGCCAGAAAUGUCCAAAAGAGUUCCAAUUACAUUAUCUACUAUAUUUUUCUCUAUAUGCAUUACGUCAAGGCUAUGACGUAACGAGUUGUGCUGCCAAUAAGAUAAUUAAAAAAAUGACCUUUUUUUCCAAGGGCCAUCAUUUGUUCUCUUUCGCUUCUUCCCAAACACAUUGCUAAAUUUCAGUAAGCUAUUAAGCACAUCAGUUCCCUUUAACAAAGGCGGAGAAGGCCUAAAUUGUGUUUUUCCAUUGAAAGACUUCUUAUUAGAUCUCCAAGUAUGAUCCACAGUUAGAAAAACACGAUGAUCCAUAUAACACAUUUUUUUACUAUGUUUAAGGUAACGAGAAUUAGUGCCAUAAUUACAACAAGGGAAAGACAACUUUCCCUUUAUACUCCAACCGGAUAACAUAACAUAUGCAGGAAAGUCACUGAUUGUCCAUAAAAGAGCUGAUCGCAUUUGAAAUGUUUGAUCACUUGAAGCAUCAUAUGUUUCUACCCCGGACUCCCACAAAACAUUUAACUGUUCUAUUAAUGGUUGUAAAUAAACGUCAAUGUCAUUUCCAGGUGAUCGUGGCCCAGGUAUAAGCAAAAAAAACAUACAGUACUCUGGCUUCAUGCACAUCCAAGGGGGCAAAUUAUACACCAUUAAAAUAACUAGCCAUGUGCUAUGAGAUAUGCUCAUGGUCCGAAAUGGAUUGAACCCAUCACUUGCUAAGCCAAGUCUGAACUAGAAUCCCUUGCAAAUUCUGAAUGCAAGCUAUCAAAGUCUUUCCAUGCUUUCCCAUCAGUAGGAUGCCUUAACUCUCCAUCUUUAGAACGCUCCUCGUCAUGCCACGUCAAUGUAUCUGCUGUCUUUGAGCACACAAAUAACCUUUUAAGUCUAGGAAUUAAUGGAAUGUGUCUCAAAAUAUUUGCUGGAACACGAUAACCUUUUUUGUGAAGCCUCAAGAUCGUUAUCUACUUCAUCGCUAUCUGCUUCAGGAUAUUUAAUAUAUCGAGAUGUUCCACAAACAUGACAAUAUUUAUCAUCAUAUGGUCAUUCCUAAAUAGCAUGCAAUCAUUAGGACAUGCAUCAUUUUUUUCAUAAUCAAGACCGAGAUCUUUUACCAUAGAUUUGGCUUUAUUGUAGGAAAUAGGAAUGUUACAAGUCAAACAUCGCCUCUUUUAAUAGCUCUAAAAGAGAAGUGAAAGAUGCAUUGCUCCAUCCAUGUAGACACUUCAACAAAUACAAAUGGAUUGUAAAAGAUAAUCUAGAAAAUCCUUUACAACUAGGAUAUAGUUCUUGGCUUGCCUCGUCAACUAAGUUUAUAGAAUUUAUUGGCAUCUUCAUUUGGGCAUUCAUACGCUCCUCCAGCAUGUGCAAUAUUUUUAAAUUGAUCAUUAAUAAAAACCCAUCAAUAUCAUCGUACGAGUAAACAUUAUCAUCAAUGUCACAAUUAGCAUUCAUCUAAAUUUCCCAUUCCCUAUGAUUAAUCCAUCUUGUAUAAGCUUGACCAAACCCAUAACAUAUUAAAUGGUCAUACACUACAUUCCUUCGAGUCCAGCAAAUAUUAAAACACUUUGCUCAUGGUCUUUGAAUUUCUUUGCCUUGAGGAUAUCCAUAAGAGUAAGCAAAAUCUAAGAAAGAUUGAACACCCUCAAUAUACUCUUUGCUAUACCUUGGUUAAUCCAUCUAUUCCUUGGAUGGAACAUUUGAAUUCCUAAAAAUAAAAUUUAUUAGAUCUUAAAAUAUAUAAUCAUUUAAGCAUUAACUAUAUGGUAAUACUAAAUUCUAAAUGUCAAGAAUAAAUCUAGAAAAUUAUGUGUUGUAAAAUGAUAGGACUUUCUUACUUAGACAUAAACUAAGCUAAAUACAAAUUUAAGUCCACCACAAAUCUUCCCGAGCGUGACUAGUCUUCUUGGAUAAAAAAAAGGAAAAAUUAAGAUCCACAAAACAAAGACAGAAAGUAAUAAAAUUCUAAACCACGUUUCUCAUGAAGAUAAUAUAAUAGUUUUUCGCACCAAAAAGUUUCAUGUGCACUUUGGCAAGUAUAGUGACACAUAAAAGGUAUUUUGUUCAUACAAAUACUAUAUAAUUAAAAGAAGUUAAGAUAUAAAAAUAUAACUAGCUUUUUCUGAUUUCUUCAACUCAAAAGAAUAAACUCCAGAACUAGUCAUAUUUCAAAAUUACUAAAAGAAACUUUGAUAGAACAAUUUACCACAUUACAUUCGGGCCAAGUAUUCACUUGUCAAGUUUUAUAUGAGCUUCACAAGAGUAAAUUGGUGGGUGACUCAGAAAGUUAAACUUCUCUUACUCUUCCAUUAAAAUAUUGGGAAGUUCCAGCUCUCUGUUAUGGAUGGCAUAAAGCAUCCAACCAGUUUCAGUUCUCUUUGAUAUAUUAUAAAGAUUAGGACCAGCCUAUCAGGAAUACUUAUAGGAUAAAUAGAAAAUAGAAUUCAAUUGAACAAAACUAUAACCAACGAAUAUUGAAUCAAUAUAAGUUUCGUGUGUUUAUACAAGUGGCAACAAAAUACCCAACGUGUAAGUUUUACACUAUUUUCAUUAAACAGUUUGAUGAUGUAACCUCUUAAAAAUAGUUCAGUGAUUCAUCUUUAGAUAGGCAUCUGUAACCAUGAUUGUGUAACAUACAUUACACACAAGAGGAGGAAAUCUAGUUAUUUGAGUGAACUGUUGACUUGACCCUUCCAUCAAUAAGAUGAGAUCCUAGGAUUCAUCUUUUGAACCACACUGAUAAACUUGAAAAUAGACAAGUUUGAGUAGCUGAGCAGCUAAUCCAGAAGCGUAAAACUAUCGGUCAUAUUUAGUCAAAAUACCAACAGACCAAAUUAACCCUUAGAAAGAACACUAAACACAAAAAUUACCAUUUCAAAUCAACAAAAUUACUCGAAACACAACAUCCUACUUCGUUCGAAGGCAAAUGUAAAUGUAGCAAACCAAGUAUAACUCAUGAUUCCAUUUUAUUGCGAGGCAGGGAACUCUGGACUACUGCUUAGGAAGGCAGGGGUAGAGGAAAACAAUUGUUUACUUCAGACAUUAACCCUUAGAAAGAACACUAAAUACAAAAAUUACCAUUUCAAAUCAACAAAACUACCAUGAAACAUGCUCUGGCUUUACACGAAACACAACAUCCGAUUCGUUUCAAGGCAACAUCCUAAAAAUGCAGCAAACCAAAUAUAACUCAUGAUUCCAUUUUAAUGCGAGGCAGGGAACUCUGGACUACUGCUCAAGAAGGCAGGGGUAAAGGAAAUUUGGCUUACCUUUACCAAGAAUUGGCAGCUCUUCUAAGUUGAACUCAGGCAGCAAAUUAAACGUAAAAGCACCAGAUGUUAUUUCUAAAACUAGGCAGCAACAGAUUACACCAACUGCUAUUUCGAUGGCAAAGGCAGGUAAUGAUCGAGCAGCAACAAAUAUUAAAUCUAGCUAGUAGAAAAUUGAGGAAACUAAUCUAAUCUUGGAUGAAGUGCAGCAGCAAUGUAUGCCAAAUGACUUAAUUGUUGGUCCUACUACUAGCCGAACAGCAAUACCAGCUAAUUCUAGGCAGCAACAAGUUAUGACUACAACUCCAAAUAUUUAAGUAGAAGAUAGAAAGCUAUUGGAUGCGAUGGUAAGCUCAAAACUUUUUAGCUCUUUAAAUCUUACUACGUUUAGCACAGGUUCAAAGAAAUGUUUUCUUAGAACAUGCUUCAAUUUCUAAAUCAAAGUCGAGGUAGUUCUUCCUAAGGCCAUGUUCCUAAUAGGUAAAGGUUCAAGUAAUAAUUUGAUUUUCUGGAAUGAGCAUAGCAACAUACAUUUUAUUUUAUUAACAGGAGCAGUAAGAGAUUACUUGAGCAUACAGUAUUCACACAAACAUUUGGAUCCAUUAUUUUAGUCGAAAAAUACUACCGGCGGGCCUCUUCACUAAUAUUGAAUAAUGAUUGCACUUUAAGCUAUCAUAUUCCCAAAUAUAAAGAAGAUUUAUGGUCAUUCAAGACAUGAUUUCUAAAACUGAAAGGAAAAGACUUAAGUUAAUAAUCUAUUUAGAAUCAAACAAUAUGCAUUCAGCCAUUGGCAUAAACCUUUUAGACUAUUUUAUAGUUCAAACUCGUCUUUUGAUUCAAUUUAAAGUUGUGCAAGAAAUCCUUCUGGAUAAUCCUGAAUAUAUUCGUCAUAUGAUAAUCCCGAAUAACUUGAUAAAACCAAAUUAACAAGUAAAUAUGAAUGAAAAAAUUAAACAAAAUACAAUAUCAUAACUCCAAAUAAAGAAUAACCUGCAUAAUUACACCAAAAGGUACAGAAUUUUACAAAUAUAAUGUUGCAAUCACAGAUAGUAAAACAUGUACUACCCGAAUAAAUAAUAAUUAUCUAAAUUUAAAAUCAUAUAUGGGGAAAAUAAAGAGUACCCAUCGGAGACUUUUUCAUUAGAUGGGUUUUACUAAAUUAAUCAUAUGGAGGCUUGAUUCAAUUUUUUCUUUCUUAGGAUUGUCAAAUUAAAGAAAAUAGAAAUAGCACUUCCUGAGAUGGAUAUGGUAUGAUGCUGAUAAUACAAAUAUUUACAAAAAGUAAGAACUUACAUUUGUAAAAGCAACUGAAAGGCUGAAGCUUGCAACAGUAAGAUUAACAGGUGAAAGAAUGAGAUAGUAGAAGCAGUCGACGAUACAGUGGCCAAAGAGAUGUGGAAAUUAUUUCCACUUUUUCCUAUUGGGUUUCCUAGAACUGAACGUACGGUAAAGCUGUGGAAAUAGUCUCAAUUUUUACGUAUAGGUUUUCCUACCGACAUAGGGCUUAUGAGAAUUGGGGGGAAAUAUUUU